UUACGGCCAUAUCACGUUUGAACACCGAUUCUCGUCAGAUCGCCGAAGUUAAGCAAAGUUGGACCCGGUCAGUACCUAGAUGGGUGACUGCUCAGGAAUACCAGGUGCUGCC